UACGUAGGGGGCAAGCGUUGUCCGGAAUCAUUGGGCGUAAAGAGCGUGUAGGCGGCCCGGUAAGUCCGUUGUGAAAGUCGAGGGCUCAACCCUCGAAUGCCGGCGGAUACUCCCGGGCUAGAAUCCGGAAGAGGCGAGUGGAAUUCCUGGUGUAGCGGUGAAAUGCGCAGAUAUCAGGAGGAACACCAAUGGCGAAGGCAGCUCGCUGGGACGGUAUUGACGCUGAGACGCGAAAGCGUGGGGAGCAAACAGG
rnacentral:rRNA from 1 species